rnacentral:rRNA from 1 species
UGGGGAAUUUUGGACAAUGGGCGAAAGCCUGAUCCAGCAAUGCCGCGUGUGUGAAGAAGGCCUUCGGGUUGUAAAGCACUUUUGUCCGGAAAGAAAUGGCUCUGGUUAAUACCUGGGGUCGAUGACGGUACCGGAAGAAUAAGGACCGGCUAACUACGUGCCAGCAGCCGCGGUAAUACGUAGGGUCCAAGCGUUAAUCGGAAUUACUGGGCGUAAAGCGUGCGCAGGCGGUUGUGCAAGACCGAUGUGAAAUCCCCGAGCUUAACUUGGGAAUUGCAUUGGUGACUGCACGGCUAGAGUGUGUCAGAGGGGGGUAGAAUUCCACGUGUAGCAGUGAAAUGCGUAGAGAUGUGGAGGAAUACCGAUGGCGAAGGCAGCCCCCUGGGAUAACACUGACGCUCAUGCACGAAAGCGUGGGGAGCAAACAGGAUUAGAUACCCUGGUAGUUCACGCCCUAAACGAUGUCAACUAGUUGUUGGGGAUUCAUUUCCUUAGUAACGUAGCUAACGCGUGAAGUUGGACCGCCUGGGGAGUACGGUCGCAAGAUUAAAAGCUC